rnacentral:sRNA from 1 species
AAUUGGCUUUGUUCAGAAACGUAAGGGCGGUGACUUUCCAUUAAAAAUCGUGAUAAAAGGCGAAGAAAGAAACGUGAUUUUUUAAAGGACUACUUGAAAAACAAAUUGAAAAAUUGGAAACCUAAACUUGGCAGAGGACCUGUAUCUAACCUUGAACUACUAACCGCUUAACGACCUUUAUGGUCUGUUUGAAGCGAGAGAUUCCUACGAACACCUAAGUAACCCUCAGUUAUCUUAGUAGGGCUAGUCUUUCCGUCGCACCGACGGUUAGAAGCCUUAUAGCUUCAUUUUUAAGAUUUAAGCUUGCGUUAAUAUCUCGAUCAUGAUGGGUUCUACAAUAUGUUGUUCGUUCCGUCUCAUCCAAUGGUUGACGAGACGGAAUCGGUUGUGUUUGCUUCGCUGACGAAACAAAAAUAGCUGCAUAAACAUGAGAAGAGCUUUUCUCUCUGUUUAACGUGUCUGUUUUCGUGACAUAACACCAUCAUCUGUUCUAGAAAAAAUUAAACAAUAUGGUCCCCUGUAGAAUUUAGGCAGCA